UAAGGAAUAUUGGACAAUGGAGGCAACUCUGAUCCAGCCAUGCCGCGUGAAGGAAUAAGGCCCUAUGGGUUGUAAACUUCUUUUAGACGGGACAAAACCCCUUUACGUGUAAAGGGUUGAUGGUACUGUCAGAAUAAGCAUCGGCUAACUUCGUGCCAGCAGCCGCGGUAAUACGAAGGAUGCAAGCGUUAUCCGGAAUUAUUGGGUUUAAAGGGUGCGUAGGCGGACUAAUAAGUCAGUGGUGAAAGCCUGCAGCUUAACUGCAGAAUUGCCAUUGAUACUGUUAGUCUUGAGUACAGUUGAGGUCGGCGGAAUGUGGCAUGUAGCGGUGAAAUGCUUAGAUAUGACACAGAACACCGAUUGCGAAGGCAGCUUGCUAAGCUGUAACUGACGCUGAGGCACGAAAGCGUGGGGAGCAAACA
rnacentral:rRNA from 1 species